GGUAAUUUCUGACAAGACCCGACUGGCAACACUGCAAAUAAUCACUAGUGGUCAUACGCCAACGUCACUCGCCCGAAGCCAUAAAAAAGAAAACAAAAACUUCCGGUUCCGGAAGAAAAAACAGCCAAGUGUUUUGCACUUUUGCAGCAUACUCUCUUUUGAUCUGUGUUUUGCAGUGCACAAAAUCAGUGGUAGAACGUAGAACCUACAAGUUUUUUUGUUUUGCACGGUGUUUUAUUUAAUAAACGCUUCUGUUGUGCGAAUUGGACGCGUGACGUGCUGAAGAUUAAAGACUUUGCAUAAUGGAAUCAAAAAAAUUUUUUUUGGUUACAUUUUUAGAUGAAGAUGAUGCUCCUGGCAUAGUUUCAUCAAAGUGGUUAAGAUACCAACACUUGUUAUUACCCUAAUGUAUGCACUGAAGAAAUCAAAAACAAACUUGAAGAAGAUGCCUGCACCUGAAGCAACAUGGUCACAAUAUCAAAUAAAAAUACUUAAAAGUUAUGAAACUUAUGGCGAAGCACGAUUACAUUUAAAAAAAGCGGAAGAAACCUGAAAUUUGGACUCAGACGAAGCAGAAAAUGAUGUUACAAAUGAAGUGACAGUGGACAUAAUGUCUGCUGUAAAUUACCCAGUCACCUCCGGUUCUAAAGAGGCCAAGCAAACACAACUCAAAGCUGUUAACUGCCAAUCAGAGUGCAUUACAAACAAGCAAUAUGCUAUACAGCAGAGUCAUAUGAUUCAGAUUGUGUCAGACCUAGCUAACCAAAUGGCUGAAAUCAAUAGAAAAUUGGAUUUACCGUUAGCUAGGUCCGAAGAAACAUUUUCACCAACAGAUGACAAUGCAGGUCUUUCAGAACUUUUGGCAAGUCUACCAGUAAAGAUAUUGCAAGUUUUAAUAAUUUCGAUGACCAUUUAAAAAUAAACAAGAAUACAGGCAAUAAUGUCAUUUUUGUCUGGUAUUGGCGGCAGAAAUGUAAGAAGCCUUACGACUAAUAUGUUGAGACGAAUAAUUCUAGAUGAUGUAGCCGAGUUGUAUUCGUUAACUGGGAAACAGAUGAAAAAUUCGAAUAAAAAGUCAUUUAUGAGUACAGAAACCUAUAAAUUAAUCUUUCAAAUAUGUAGAAAAAUCAACGAAGAUGUAACUGAAGACAGUCUAAAAGAAAUUAUAAGUGAUUGGCUAAAUCAAGCUAAAGUUAGACUUUCAAGAAGAGCAGAAACACAAAAUAAAGAAAAAAACCAAUAGCGGCGACCAUGAAACCGAUUUUUUCUCAUUUAAAGUAAGAUAAGAUAAAAGUAUAAAUAAUAAAAAAAUAUAUGUUA